GACGUAGGGCGCGAGCGUUGUCCGGAUUUAUUGGGCGUAAAGAGCUCGUAGGCGGCUUGUCGCGUCGACUGUGAAAUCCCGCGGCUCAACUGCGGGUCUGCAGUCGAUACGGGCAGGCUAGAGUUCGGUAGGGGAGACUGGAAUUCCUGGUGUAGCGGUGAAAUGCGCAGAUAUCAGGAGGAACACCGAGUGGCGAAGGCAGGUCUCUGGGCCGAUACUGACGCUGAGGAGCGAAAGCGUGGGGAGCGAACAGG
rnacentral:rRNA from 1 species